AUCCACCUAAGCCGUGUCCCUAGCCCUGGCCCCGCCCUGAUGUUGCCGUGUAACUCAGUUCCCGCCGUUUUAUAGGCUACCGCCCCAGCCAGGCCCCGCCCUCUGAUGUGGCCCCGCCCCCCGACGCUGACUUUUUCUGUCUUCACUUUAGCGCUGGCUCCGCCCCUAGCCUUGGCCCGCCUCAGCGCGGACUCUCAGUCUCUGCGCCUGCCACGGCCUCGUCCCGCUCAGCCCUGGCCCUGCCCCUGGAGCCGACUCUCUCCGCCUCCGCCCCGGUCCCGCCCUGGCACUGACUGUCUCCGUCUUCGCCCCUGCCCUGGCCCCGCCCCCUGCCUGCUCUGGCCCCGCCCCGCCGCUCUCUCCGUCUCCGCCUCCGCCCCCGGCUCCUCCCCGGCCCCGCCCCGGCACUGACAUUCUAUCUCUCUCCCGUCUCCGCCUCUGCCCCCCCCCCGGCCCCGCCCCUGCCCUGCGCCGGCGCUGGCUCCGUCUGCGCCUCAGCCUCGGUCCCGCCUCCAGCCCUGGCCCCGCCCCGCCGCUCUCCCCUUCUCCGCCCCUGCCCUGGCUCCGCCCCCGCCUGCCCGCGCACCGCAGAAGGCCUCCUGGAACUUCCUGGACAGCUUCUCGAUGACGCUGUAGCUCUCCACGUAAUCGACGUGUUCGUCCUGCGGCUCGCUGGCGAUCUGCCGCAGCGUGGCCUUGUCCACGCUGCCCACUCCGAUGGCGAACAGCUCGACGCCGCUGGCCCGGGCCCGCGCAGACACGUCCUGCACGCUGUCCUGGGGCCUCCCGUCUGUCACCACGAUGACCACCUGCGACACGCGGGGCGGUGUGACACCGGGCUCCCGGAAGCCCACGGGACUGUCCAGGAGAGGAGGCUGAGGCCCGGAGAGGCGGGAGGACUGCCGGGUCGCACAGCCAGGCGGCACCCGGGGGAAGAGGACCCGGCUGGCCGAAGAGGAGACCCGUUUCCUCUGACUGAGAGACGUGGCUGGGGGGCUUUCCAUCUGCUUCGCCUCCCUCGGGCAGGCAGCUCUGAGAUGCCCGGAGGGAUGUGAUGCCCCAUCGCCAAAUUGGGGUCUCUAAGGUCAGGGCCAUGCCUUCCCCUCAGACUGAGGCGGCUGAGGGCAGGGUCCUCAGGCUGAUGGCUGUGGGAGUCGUGCCACGCCCCUCGUGCCCCCGGGAGGCCCGGCCGGGGCUGGGUGGGGGGAUCCGGUGGUUCCACAUGGUGCAGUUCUGCGCUUUGGCCACCAGAUGGCAGCCGAAGCUAAGGGAUGGGGCUGCCGUCUCCCGUCUUGCUGUCCUUGUCCCGGUAAGACCGGGGACCCUGGACCAGGGAACCGACGGAGGGCCACUCCCAUGUGGAUGCCCAAGGGACCAACCCAAGAAAGAUGCCGCCCUUAUCCUCCUCCACUCCCCGGUAUGAUACAUGCCCCUGCCAGAGAGGGAAAGAAUCUGCCUGCUCCCCUCCCACUAGGCUCCUCUGGUCUGUACCCUGGAAAGAAAGAGGUGGCGGACUCUGUCACUGAGAUCCGGCUUCGUGACCCCCUGUCUGCACCCGCCCUGAGGCUAGGGCGCUCCCAGCUCUGCCCAGUCUGGGUUAGGCAUCCAGUCCCGCUUUGCUGCUUCUCUGCUUCUGACUUGGGUCUGUUUCUGAUUCCUGGGUCCCAUCCUUAGCCCCAGGUCCUGACACCCUGUCCUGAUGACAGGCAGUUGAGACAGGCCGUGUUUAGAAAUGCAGCUCCACAAGCUACAGGUCACCUUCCUGAGCCUCAGUGUCUUCAACUGUAAAAAGGGUUGUGGUGAGGUUGAGUGAGAUGACUCCUGGUUAGAAGCCAGAAGGGGCAACUAUUAUUUUUACCAUCAUUACCCUGGGCUACCUGGGGAGUGACUUUGUACAAUCUCUUCCUCUCCAGGGGCCUGGGCUCCUGGCUCUGAAAAUCUAGCUGUGACUAUUCGCUGCCAUCCCGAGGCCCACUGCCUCCUCGAGUCCCUACUCCCCUCCCUGCAACCCAGCUUUCAGAUUGUCCACCUUGCUGGGUCCUCCCACAGGUGAACUCCAGGCUGAACACCUGGAGUCUGGUGCCAGCUCCCCCAGCGCCGCUGUGUCACCUGCUGGAGGAGCUCUCUCCUCACUUGCCCACCCCACGCCACCACCCCCAUCUCCUUCACCCUCUCCACCACCUCAACCAUCAGCUUCAUCUACAGCACCCCGUGCUGAAACUUGUAGUUGGCCCCAAGACCGACAGGCUGCCUGAUACGUCAUUUCUCUAAGGGGUGGUAAUGGCUGGGAUUAUAUGCUGUUGUCUCUGUGAAUGCUUUUCCCACUUAUUGGCUGAGCAAGUUGCUUAAGCUUCUUAUGCCUCAGUUUCACCAUCUGUAAAAUGGGGAUACCACCUCCGAGCAGAAUCAUGUUCAUUUAUCCACUGUGUGCUAGAGAGUGGGGUAUGGAGGAGGGAUAAGAAAGAACCUCCCCUGAGCUGGGGCCCUGAGCAGGGAAGUGGCGACUCGGGCUAACGAAGGCUGCAGUGGGGAAGUGCUGGAGCCUGUGGGGGUGCCACAGGAACAGAGGACACCUGGCUUAGCCUCAGGUUCUGUGCUGAGCCCUGAACAUGACAGUGAGGAUACAAGUCCUGGGAAACGCUCAGCCCUCUGCCUGGAGCCCUCACUGACAGCACAGGUGGCAGCACAGCCCUUCCAUUUCUGAGCCCCUGCCCUCGGAGAAUUAUGAAAUUAAAAAUUAUCAAAUGCCAUGAUGGGAAGCCUUAUGCUUUUGAACUCAGUCCUCAGCAGCACUUGGAGAAGGUGUUAUCAUUACUCCCAUUUUACAGGUGAGGAAACCGAGCACCAGUGACAUGACGUCACUUGCUCGGGGUGGCACAGCUAGUAUGGUGGAGCAGGGCGUGAACCCAGGCAGGCUGGUGGCGGAGGCCACACCUUCACUCCUCCCAUAAGCAUCUGGCCUGUCUGCAAUGUCUUCAAGGGGCUCAGACUGGUCGGGAACCAAGGUCAACUAAACUGAAAUGAUUGUAUGAAAUGGCCACCUCACGGGGCAUCAUGGGAAUCAAAGUGUCUGCAGGCAAAGCUCAUAACUCCGAGCGGGAGCCUCCAAACAGCAGCAUCCUAGCAGGGUGGCGUGCACGUACCUUGCUGAUGUCAGGGGACCUGGAACGACCACCCUCUGCAUCGCCGAAGGCUUUGGUGAUAGCGAACUGGAUGGCCAGGCCGGUCAUGGUGCCUGUGGACAGCGGCUGGAUACGGCGCACAGCCUGCAGCAGUGCGGCCUUGGAGACAUGAGCCCGCAGCGAGAACUCCUGCUUCACGGUGCUGGCAUAGUUGACCAUGCCCACCCGGGUGGCAUUGGGCCCCACGUCCAGCGACUCGAUGACCUGGGACAGGAAUACCUUCACUUUCUCAAAUUCAACAGGCCGAACGCUGCGAGAGCUGUCGACAACAAACACCAGGUUAUAAACCACCCAGGGUCACACAAGGGCCAUCCACGGUGACCAGCGGUGAGAAACGCAAUGCUGUCCUCGUGCCAUGCUGGAGGUGAACGAGGAGAACGUGAGCUGGGGUCUCCUCACCAACUGCUCCCCCCACCCCAACCCCCCUGACGGCCAGGGCUGUGUCCAGGGCUCAGGGCACAAGGCUCCGUUAGCUGGGCAGCAGCUGGCCCAUGAAACAGCCCUUUCAGCUCCACCUCUGAAUGGCAGUUCUAUGGGCUCCUCGGAAGAACACAGGCGCCUUCUCUGUGUCACUUCUCCGCUCAUUAGCAGAGCUGCAGAAAUACACUACAGGACUCAAAAUUGAGAACAGUGUGUCCGGUAUGAGCCAGAAGGAAAAAAAAAUGCACGAAGGGGCCUUCUGCAAGGUUGCUCACAAGUCAAACAGGCAGCUGUGAAGGGCUCUGCUGUUCCCUCCUCCUGUUUUCACAUCCCUCGGGCUUCCAGAAACUUAAAGCCGUUAGUGUUUCAUGCAAGAGAGAGCAUCUGUGAUCCACGGAGAGGCCCCUGGGCAGUGUGGUUCAGUGGGAAGCACACAGGACUCCCUCCCCAGUGCUCCCAGGAUCAGCUCUUUCCCUAAAGAGCAAACCUGGUUAUCUCGCAAUGACCUAGCUAACACAAAUGCAACAUCAGCCGGGGCAGCCUGCCCCCUUCACUCUUUGCCCACCAUCAGCUGUUUGGCAGUAUCCAUAUACGCCUUUACCAGUAUUUAUUUAAUCUUUUUGUUUAAUUCACUCUAAACCAACUCACUUCUUAAAAAUUUCUCUGCCUUAUAAGAAAUAAUAGCCAUGAAAUCACUGGUUUGAUGUACGGUUUAUUUAUUUAUUCCAAUAAACACUCAUUCAAUAUAAAAUUCAAAUAAAUUCAAAACUAAUUAAAU
rnacentral:lncRNA from 1 species